GGGGAAUUUUGGACAAUGGGGGCAACCCUGAUCCAGCCAUGCCGCGUGAGUGAAGAAGGCCUUCGGGUUGUAAAGCUCUUUCGGCCGGGAAGAAAUCGUGCAGGCUAAUACCCUGUAUGGAUGACGGUACCGGAAUAAGAAGUACCGGCUAACUACGUUCCAGCAGCCGCGGUAAUACGUAGGGUGCGAGCGUUAAUCGGAAUUACUGGGCGUAAAGCGUGCGCAGGCGGUUUUGUAAGACAGGCGUGAAAUCCCCGGGCUCAACCUGGGAACUGCGCUUGUGACUGCAAGACUAGAGUACGGCAGAGGGGGGUAGAAUUCCAGGUGUAGCGGUGAAAUGCGUAGAGAUCUGGAGGAAUACCGGUGGCGAAGGCAGCCCCCUGGGCCUGUACUGACGCUCAUGCACGAAAGCGUGGGGAGCAAACA
rnacentral:rRNA from 1 species